rnacentral:lncRNA from 12 species
CACCCAUGCAUGAACAGAGCAGCCCAAGGAGCUGGGACAUCCCUCAGGACGGGCUCAGGAUGGGACGUGCUGCUUGCUGCUGUACCAAAGCCAGCUGAAUGACGCCUCAGAACAAGGUGCAAUUUUUGUGUCAACAGUGGAAUCAUUAACGAAUGCGUCUGCAGGCUUCAGACCAAGUCCCUUUCUUGGAACAAUGCAAAGGGAGUUGAAGGGGUAUUUUUUGUUGAGCCUGAGGCUGAGCUCCCCUGCUCCAGACUGCAGCACACAGACAGCGAGUAGACCAAAGGCCACUGAAGAAGUACAUGAAUCUUCCCUGUAUCUGCAGUAGGCUUUGGAUCAGACCUCAGCAAGCCAACA